UACGUAGGGUGCGAGCGUUAAUCGGAAUUACUGGGCGUAAAGCGCACGUAUGCGGCUCUGCAAGUCGGGUGUGAAAUCCCCGGGCUCAACCUGGGAACUGCAUCCGAGACUGCAUUGCUAGAGUAUGGGAGAGGGAAGCGGAAUUUCUGGUGUAGCAGUGAAAUGCGUAGAUAUCAGAAGGAACAUCAGUGGCGAAGGCGGCUUCCUGGGCCAAUACUGACGAUCAGGUGCGAAAGCGUGGGGAGCAAACAGG
rnacentral:rRNA from 1 species